ACGCUCGACACCUAGGAGGCAGCAGUGGGGGAUAUUGCACAAUGGGGGAAACCCUGAUGCAGCAACGCCGCGUGAGGGAAGAAGGUUUUCGGAUUGUAAACCUCUGUUCUUAGUGACGAUAAUGACGGUAGCUAAGGAGAAAGCUCCGGCUAACUACGUGCUAGCAGCCGCGGUAAUCUGAGCGGGCUGGCAAGGC
rnacentral:rRNA from 1 species